rnacentral:lncRNA from 1 species
GCUAAAUUCUGCAUCCCUCAAACAGCCUUAUAUCACUCAGAAUUAUUUUCCAGUCGGUACUGUUGUGGAAUAUGAGUGCCGUCCAGGUUACAGAAGAGAACCUUCUCUAUCACCAAAACUAACUUGCCUUCAGAAUUUAAAAUGGUCCACAGCAGUCGAAUUUUGUAAAAAGAAAUCAUGCCCUAAUCCGGGAGAAAUACGAAAUGGUCAGAUUGAUGUACCAGGUGGCAUAUUAUUUGGUGCAACCAUCUCCUUCUCAUGUAACACAGGGUACAAAUUAUUUGGCUCGACUUCUAGUUUUUGUCUUAUUUCAGGCAGCUCUGUCCAGUGGAGUGACCCGUUGCCAGAGUGCAGAGAAAUUUAUUGUCCAGCACCACCACAAAUUGACAAUGGAAUAAUUCAAGGGGAACGUGACCAUUAUGGAUAUAGACAGUCUGUAACGUAUGCAUGUAAUAAAGGAUUCACCAUGAUUGGAGAGCACUCUAUUUAUUGUACUGUGAAUAAUGAUGAAGGAGAGUGGAGUGGCCCACCACCUGAAUGCAGAGGAAAAUCUCUAACUUCCAAGGUCCCACCAACAGUUCAGAAACCUACCACAGUAAAUGUUCCAACUACAGAAGUCUCACCAACUUCUCAGAAAACCACCACAAAAACCACCACACCAAAUGCUCAAGCAACACGGAGUACACCUGUUUCCAGGACAACCAAGCAUUUUCAUGAAACAACCCCAAAUAAAGGAAGUGGAACCACUUCAGGUACUACCCGUCUUCUAUCUGGUUCUCGUCCUGUCACCCAGGCUGGUAUGCGGUGGUGUGAUCGUAGCUCACUGCAGUCUCGAACUCCUGGGUUCAAGCGAUCCUUCCACUUCAGCCUCCCAAGUAGCUGGUACUACAGGUGUGUGCCACGACACCCGGCUAAGUUUUUGAAAUUUAUUUUUUGUAGAGACAGGAUUUUCCUAUGUUGCCCAGGCUGGUUUCAAACUCCUGGCCGUAAGCGAUUUUUCCGGCCUCCCAAAACGUUGCGAUUAUAAGUGUGAGCCACUGCACCUGGCCCCACAUUUUCUUUAUCCAUUUGUACAUUGAUGGACACUUAAGAUGAUUCCAUAUCUUUGCUAUUGUGAAUAGUGCUUCAAUAAAUAUGUGAAUGCACAUAUCUUUUUGAU